rnacentral:rRNA from 1 species
ACUGCUCAGUAACACGUCGAUAACCUACCCUUAGGUCAGGGAUAACCUUGGGAAACUGAGGCUAAUACCUGAUAUGGGAAUUAUACUGGAAUGUUUUUUCCUUUAAAUUCGUGCCUAACGAUGGGAUGGCGGCGGAUUAAGUUGUUGGUGAGGUAAUGGCUCACCAAGCCGAAGAUCCGUACGGGCUCUGAGAGGAGUAGCCCCGAGAAGGGCACUGAGAUACUGGCCCUAGCCCUACGGGGUGCAGCAGGCGCGAAACCUCUACAAUGCACGAAAGUGUGAUAGGGGGAUCCCAAGUGCUGAUGUUUUACAUCGGCUUUUGCCAAGAGUAAGUAUCUUGGCGAAUAAGUGGUGGGAAAGACUGGUGCCAGCCGCCGCGGUAAUACCAGCGCCACAAGUGGCAAUCGUAUUUAUUUGGCCUAAAGCGUCCGUAGCCGGUCUGAUAAAUCUUUUGUGAAAUUGUUGGGCUUAACUUAACAACGUGCAGAAGAGACUGUCAGACUUGGGACCAGAGAGGGGUUGGAAGUAUUUCUGGGGGAGCGGUAAAAUGUUAUAAUCCCAGAAAGACUACCUGUGGCGAAGGCGUCCAACCAGAAUGGAUCCGACGGUGAGGGUCGAAAGCUAGGGGAGCGAUCCGGAUUAGAUACCCGAGUAGUCCUAGCUGUAAACUCUGCGAGCUAGGUGCUACAUAUUCUUCGUGAAUAUGUAGUGUCGAAGCGAAAGUGUUAAGCUCGCCGCCUGGGAAGUAUGGUCGCAAGACUGAAACUUAAAGGAAUUGGCGGGGGAGCAC